UGUUGUGUGGAUAUAGAAUAUUUGAAACAAUUUUUUUAACUACUGCUAUUCCAAUUCUUUAUGGGCCCUGCUGGUACAAAAUAUUGCGAAUAAUUGAGAGGUGACACUCCACCAUGCAUGAGACAUUCUAUUCAAUUUGUGCUUCAUUGCAGUCUAUUGGGAAUGACAGUGAACUCUGUGUUAUUAAGUCGUUUCUGAUACUAGAACUUUCAAAUUAAAGAUCGACUCUGUUAAACUUAAUCUAGAAUAUUUGAAGUACUUAGAUUUUUUUAUAAUUUUUCGAUAUCAUUUACUUGACGAUCGAAAUGGCUCAAAAAUAACGGCUGAAAAAAAAUAUCACAAAAAAUGAUGAUACAAUACUAAAACUUUAGAUCAAAAGUAUUGAUCUCAUUUAUAUAUGCUAUAAAAAAAUUAUUAAAAAUUUUGCGUGACUUGAAUAUUUUUAUAUCGUUAAACUUUUAAACUGCUCAUAUUGACUAUUAAAAUUAUUGAUUUUAAACUCCUUCGAUCAUUAGAUAAAUAAUAUUAAAAAUUUUACAAAUUAUUUUUAAAAUAUUUUAAAGUAAAUUUUACAGAAUCAAU
rnacentral:lncRNA from 1 species